GGAGGUAUAGCUUAGUGGUAGAGCUCAUGCUUAGCGUGGAGUAGGACCUGGGUUCAAUCUCCAGUACCGCCA
rnacentral:tRNA from 1 species